rnacentral:lncRNA from 1 species
UUAUUUUUUAUGCAUGUGUGAUGUCGGUGAUAGGAGAGCAAGUUCCUCAAGUUCAUGAGGAAUCCCCUCUCAACUUGUUAGCACAGGUGUCUCCGACUCUUGUGAGUUGCCGCUGUAGAUGAUAUGGUCGACAUCCUUGCUACUGGCUCCUAAUUUUUUUGUGAUGAACAGAUGGUUUAGAUUUAGUGUGUAUAUCUUAGAUGUUAUAUUGGUUUGGAAAUUAACUUGUUACCUUUGUCUAACUUAAUGUCAAGCUAAACCUGAUGCAGAUGUCCAUGUCUUUGCAAAUGAUGUCAGUAGGAAGUUUGUGUGUGUGCUUUCUUCAUAGUGUAAAUCUGUUGGAGCUAGCUCUGAGGUUAUUUGUUUGUUUGUGAGGAAAUCAAAGCGGCAAAGCAUUGUACUGCAGGUGUUGCCAUCAAGAUAUCUCGUGGACGAGUUAUACUCCUCGGUGCUCAUGUAAAACUAACUUAUUUUUCUCUCUACAGCUGUAUAAUAUAGAACGGUUGAGCUUAACAUCUCGCUGCUAAUAUUUUCAAAUAUAUUGCACCCCAUGCACAACCCAUGCACCCAUCCUAUUUGAUAUGUCGAGGCUGGAUGUUUUAUCUACACUUUCUCUUCUUAGUGGUGAAAUGGUGAUCCAUUAGAAGCAAACCUGGCCGAUAAGCUAAAGGAAGUUCAG